rnacentral:lncRNA from 1 species
GCCUGGUGUGCAAAGGGCCUGCCUACCCUGAGCGGAAGCAGACACCAGAAGACUUCAAUAUGCAGGGUUGCUCCAGGAUAGCCAACUCCUAGUGUGACUCUUGCCAUUACUUGCACUUCCUGGCACAGUUUCAGAAAGAGAAAAGGGGUCCGUGUAGGAAAUUGUAUCAGAGAGAAAGGAUCAGACAGACUCUUGGUCCUGAAGGGCAGAAGAUGUAUUUCCUUG